AGGGUUUGAUUCUGGCUCAGAUUGAACGCUGGCGGCAUGCCUUACACAUGCAAGUCGAACGGCAGCACGGGGGCAACCCUGGUGGCGAGUGGCGAACGGGUGAGUAAUACAUCGGAACGUGUCCUGUAGUGGGGGAUAGCCCGGCGAAAGCCGGAUUAAUACCGCAUACGCUCUGCGGAGGAAAGCGGGGGCUCCUUCGGGACCUCGCGCUACAGGGGCGGCCGAUGGCAGAUUAGCUAGUUGGUGGGGUAAAGGCCUACCAAGGCGACGAUCUGUAGCUGGUCUGAGAGGACGACCAGCCACACUGGGACUGAGACACGGCCCAGACUCCUACGGGAGGCAGCAGUGGGGAAUUUUGGACAAUGGGCGCAAGCCUGAUCCAGCAAUGCCGCGUGUGUGAAGAAGGCCUUCGGGUUGUAAAGCACUUUUGUCCGGAAAGAAAACCUCAGCCCUAAUACGGCGGGGGGAUGACGGUACCGGAAGAAUAAGCACCGGCUAACUACGUGCCAGCAGCCGCGGUAAUACGUAGGGUGCAAGCGUUAAUCGGAAUUACUGGGCGUAAAGCGUGCGCAGGCGGUCCGCUAAGACAGAUGUGAAAUCCCCGGGCUUAACCUGGGAACUGCAUUUGUGACUGGCGGGCUAGAGUAUGGCAGAGGGGGGUAGAAUUCCACGUGUAGCAGUGAAAUGCGUAGAGAUGUGGAGGAAUACCGAUGGCGAAGGCAGCCCCCUGGGCCAAUACUGACGCUCAUGCACGAAAGCGUGGGGGAGCAAACAGGAUCAGAUACCCUGGUAGUCCACGCCCUAAACGAUGUCAACUAGUUGUCGGGCCUUCAUUGGCUUGGUACGUAGCUAACGCGUGAAGUUGACCGCCUGGGGAGUACGGUCGCAAGAUUAAAACUCAAAGGAAUUGACGGGGACCCGCACAAGCGGUGGAUGAUGUGGAUUAAUU
rnacentral:rRNA from 1 species